rnacentral:tRNA from 1 species
GGUUGAGUAGCUCAGCUGGAUAGAGCAACAGCCUUCUAAGCUGUGGGUCUUGGGUUCGAAUCCCAACUCAAUCACCU